CCUACGGGAGGCAGCAGUGAGGAAUAUUGGUCAAUGGAAGAGAUCCUGAACCAGCCAAGCCGCGUGAGGGAAGACGGCCCUAUGGGUUGUAAACCUCUUUUGUCGGAGAACAAAACCCGGGACGUGUCCCGGACUGCGUGUAUCCGAAGAAAAAGCAUCGGCUAACUCCGUGCCAGCAGCCGCGGUAAUACGGAGGAUGCGAGCGUUAUCCGGAUUUAUUGGGUUUAAAGGGUGCGUAGGCGGUCCGUUAAGUCAGCGGUAAAAGUGCGGGGCUCAACCCCGUCGAGCCGUUGAAACUGGGAGACUUGAGUUGGCGAGAAGUACGCGGAAUGCGCGGUGUAGCGGUGAAAUGCAUAGAUAUCGCGCAGAACUCCGAUUGCGAAGGCAGCGUACCGGGGCAAGACUGACGCUGAGGCACGAAAGCGUGGGGAUCGAACAGGAUUAGAUACCCCGGUAGUC
rnacentral:rRNA from 1 species